rnacentral:rRNA from 1 species
UAGGGAAUCUUCGGCAAUGGGGGGAACCCUGACCGAGCAACGCCGCGUGAGUGAAGAAGGUUUUCGGAUCGUAAAGCUCUGUUGUUAAGGAAGAACGAGUGUGAGAAUGGAAAGUUCAUGCUGUGACGGUACUUAACCAGAAAGGGACGGCUAACUACGUGCCAGCAGCCGCGGUAAUACGUAGGUCCCGAGCGUUGUCCGGAUUUAUUGGGCGUAAAGCGAGCGCAGGCGGUUAGAAAAGUCUGAAGUGAAAGGCAGUGGCUCAACCAUUGUAGGCUUUGGAAACUGUUUAACUUGAGUGCAGAAGGGGAGAGUGGAAUUCCAUGUGUAGCGGUGAAAUGCGUAGAUAUAUGGAGGAACACCGGUGGCGAAAGCGGCUCUCUGGUCUGUCACUGACGCUGAGGCUCGAAAGCGUGGGGAGCGAACAGG